GAUUGAUUAUCACUGCCUUUACCAGACUAGCUCCUCCCUAGUAAGGCCCGUGGAUCCAUUCCACACAGAGUCAUUUGUUCUGGGUCCUGUCUGUCAGCCCUCAUGUGGAGGAGGGAUGAUUUAAAGCAGAGAUCCAGAGUUUGUGUAUCUGUGCUGCCUGAGCGUGGACUGGGCAUGCAUGGUGGGUGUAAAAGGUCACAGCAUCUUACUCUUUUUUUUUCUGUUUUCAAAUUACUGCAUCAUGAAGAUACAAGGUGUCAUUUUCUUAAAGAGUUAAAGAGGAGGUUUUAUCCAUGACACAUUUGUGAGCUUCCCAUUCCACAGCUUUCACUAUUGUCCAUUGGACACAGUGGAAACACCCACCUUAGAUCCUAUGGAGAUGAAGCAAGUGUUGUGUGUGAUUAAUGGGACUGUGUUUAUGCAGACAACCUUACUGACUGACAUCUCUCAGGGUUUCUUCCAAGGCUGGUGUCUGCAAUUUCCACCAGUAAUUACACUAAUAUAGGGUUUCAUAUUGACUUGCACAUCUCCUGGAAAGUCUCAUUAAUCUUCAUUAUGGCAAUUAUUUACCUCUCCCUGUCCUCUACUGAUCUGUGAAGUGUUUUUUAAUAUUGUCUCUGAUUUUUAGAUUGGAUCCAGAUGACUCUGUUUAUAAAUUUCUCUUCCAAACAUAACAAAAGGAAAGAUGAAAAUUAGACUUUGCUAGUGAAUGACAGACACAAAGAAAUUCCAGACUUCCCAAAUUGUCUUCCAAUUCCUUAGCUAAAAUAAAGCUUUUUCUGAAAGCUUGGAACUCUGUAAUAAUUAAAGGAGUCUGGUAAAGGUGUAGGUAACUCUACAGGUUUGCUAUUUUCCAAUGCUGUAUUCUUUGUUUACAUCAUUUUUUAAAGUUUAUUAACUUUUAAAUAUUUUUUUAUUAUGAACAUGUAGUUUUUACAUGUUAAUGGUGGUCAGAAUGAUACUCCCACGCAUGCAUACAGCAUAAACUAAUCAAAUCCAUCCUUUCUUCAUCUAGUCUCCAUACCACCACCACAUACUCUUCUCCGUCUCUAGUAAUCACUAUUUUAACUUCAGAUUAAUUUUUUUUAAUGUCCACAAAUGAGAGACAGUGAAUACUUACCUUUCUGUGUCGGUCUUCUUUCGCUUACCAUAUUGCCCUCUAGUUCUGUCCAGGCUGCAAAUGAUUUAGUUCUUCUUUAUGGCAAAAUAUGAUUUCCUUGUAUAUUUAGUCAGUAUUUUCACCACUGUGACCAAAAGACUUGAUAAAAACAACUUUAAGGAGGAAAAGUUUAUUUCAGGGCUCAUGGUUUCAGAGGUCUCAGUGCAUAGAUGGCCAACUCUAUUCCUUAGGGCCUGAGAUGAGGGAGAACAUCAUAGUGGAAGUGUGUGGCAGAAGAAAGCAUCUGGGGUUAUGACACCAGGAAGGGAAGAGGAGUGGAGGAGAGCCUCAAUCAAUAAGGACAAAAUAUAAAACCCAAAUCCAUACUCCCAGAGACUCACCUCCUCCAGCCUGCCUAGAGUUAUAGUUAUAGUCUUGGGGUGUUGGUUUUGUUGUGUCCGUUCAGCAAAGAAUUGAAGAACAGGACACAGGAACAGCAAGCAAGAAGUAGAUUUAUUGAAAAAAUAAAAGUGUGUUUAUUGCAAAGAGACAGAGAUGCAAAGAUAGACUUCUCUGAGGAGAAGGGACCCAGAACUGGGAAUUUUGGCCUGUUCAAACUGGUGAGUUCUGGCCUGUUCUUUUUAUCAUCUCUGGAAUUUUCUUCUUUCCUUAUCUCCUCCCCUGUCCACAUGCUCCUCCCUAUUAUUGAUCAGUACCCUCUCUGUUCAUGCAUCUGUUUUAGUUUUUCUAUCGGAUCCCUACCUUAGGAUCAUGAGUAUGGAAGUGUCUGUCUGAUUGAGUUCCCCACUUGUGUCCAUGAGCCCUUUUGUCAACCAAAAAGUUGACUUUAUCAGAAGACCCCUCCUUGCUCCUUUGUUCUGGCCCUACCCCCAAGCUCCUCACUUGCCAUCUUUCCCUGGCUGCCUAAGCCCUUCUGUAUCUCCAUCAUUACCACCAAGUUAAUUGCUCUCAGGGCAUUAGUGCAUUAGGGCAUUAGUUGUAUGUUGUGUAGGUGAGAGAUAAGGGUCAAGUUUCAAUCUUUUGCAUGCACCACUUAUUGAAGAAGCUCUCCUUUCUCCACCAGAUGUUUUGGUAAAUUUGUUGGGUAUCGAUUGGCUAUAGAUGAAUAUUUUUUGUGUAAUCUCUAUUCUCUAAUACUGUUCUAGGUGCCUGUUUUUGUGCCAGUGUCAUGUUGUUCUGCUCACCGUGGCAGGAAUUGUCCCACCUCCAGCUUUAUUCCUACUAUGGUUUAGGUAUCAAAAACUCAUGAAUGGACAAUGAAAAUAAAUAGAGGUGCAAGGGCUUGUCGGUGUGGGGGUGUGACUGACCAUUGACCUGGAAACCAAUCACUGACCCUGACCUUGGAAUGCUGUCCCCCUCAACCUUCAUUGGAUGGAAUUUUCCCCUGAAUUUUUUGUUCCCCAAUAAAAGCCCACUCUCUGGCGUGCUUCUUCCUCUCUCCUGCUGGUCUCUUGUGUAAACCUCGCUACUGCCAAAUGGCUCGAGGCAGGAGCCGGGAGAAGCUGUCUCUGAGCUGGGCCAGUAAAAGGUAAA